GCUUGCUUUUGAAGAUGACGAGCGGCGGACGGGUGAGUAAUGCCUGGGAAUUUGCCCAUUUGUGGGGGAUAACAGUUGGAAACGACUGCUAAUACCGCAUACGCCCUACGGGGGAAAGCAGGGGACCUUCGGGCCUUGCGCUGAUGGAUAAGCCCAGGUGGGAUUAGCUAGUAGGUGAGGUAAAGGCUCACCUAGGCGACGAUCCCUAGCUGGUCUGAGAGGAUGAUCAGCCACACUGGGACUGAGACACGGCCCAGACUCCUACGGGAGGCAGCAGUGGGGAAUAUUGCACAAUGGGGGAAACCCUGAUGCAGCCAUGCCGCGUGUGUGAAGAAGGCCUUCGGGUUGUAAAGCACUUUCAGCGAGGAGGAAAGGGUGUAAGUUAAUACCUUACAUCUGUGACGUUACUCGCAGAAGAAGCACCGGCUAACUCCGUGCCAGCAGCCGCGGUAAUACGGAGGGUGCGAGCGUUAAUCGGAAUUACUGGGCGUAAAGCGUGCGCAGGCGGUUUGUUAAGCGAGAUGUGAAAGCCCCGGGCUCAACCUGGGAACCGCAUUUCGAACUGGCAAACUAGAGUCUUGUAGAGGGGGGUAGAAUUCCAGGUGUAGCGGUGAAAUGCGUAGAGAUCUGGAGGAAUACCG
rnacentral:rRNA from 1 species